CAGCCACCCAACUCACCUGAUUUGAACAUUCUUGACUUAGGGUUCUUUGCGGCACUUCAGGCUCUUUUUGAGAAGAUGUCCCCCGGUAAGAUUGUUGAUAUUGUUGCGAAGGUGAAAAAUGCAUAUGACACGUACCCGGCUGAGAGAAGCAAUCAUAUUUUCCUGGCCCUUCAAUCAUGCAUGCGCGAGGUACUGAAGCAGAAAGGAGGCAACCGGUACAAGGUCCCGCACAUGAGGAAGUCAUUUUUGGCGACACUCGAAAUGCUUCCGGACAUAGUACCCUGCGAUGCUGAUGUUGUAAUUGCUGCUAUUGAGGCCCUUCCAGAUGCUUGA
rnacentral:rRNA from 1 species